UACGUAGGGUGCAAGCGUUAAUCGGAAUUACUGGGCGUAAAGCGUGCGCAGGCGGUUAUGUAAGACAGAUGUGAAAAUCCCCGGGCUCAACCUGGGAACUGCAUUUGUGACUGCAUAGCUAGAGUACGGUAGAGGGGGGAUGGAAUUCCGCGUGUAGCAGUGAAAUGCGUAGAUAUGCGGAGGAACACCGAUGGCGAAGGCAAUCCCCCUGGACCUGUACUGACGCUCAUGCACGAAAGCGUGGGGAGCAAACGAGG
rnacentral:rRNA from 1 species